GAACACCGCAGGACAGAACGCCGGCUAACUACCGGUGAAGGCGACUUCAAGGAAAGUGCAACAGAAAAUUACCGCCAUGUGGGGGUGUUCCCCUUAGGGUAAGGUUGAAAAGGCGAGGUAAGAGCUCACCGUCAGAACGGUAACGUUUUGAGCCGUGUAAACCCCGUUCGGUGCAAGACAAAGGGUCAAGGUUGUCCGCCGUCCUUUACAAUCGCUCGACCGACUUGGCAACAUUUCGGCAAGAUAGAUAACCGUCAUAACAGAAUUCGGCUUACGGGUCAUACUCACGU
rnacentral:RNase_P_RNA from 1 species